UACGUAGGGGGCAAGCGUUGUCCGGAUUUAUUGGGCGUAAAGAGCGUGUAGGCGGCCAGGUAGGUCUGCUGUGAAAACUCGAGGCUCAACCUCGAGACGUCGGCGGAAACCAUCUGGCUAGAGUCCGGAAGAGGAGAGUGGAAUUCCGUGGUGUAGCGGUGAAAUGCGCAGAUAUCAGGAGAACACCAUGGCGAAGGCAGGCACUCUGGGGACGGUGACU
rnacentral:rRNA from 1 species